rnacentral:sRNA from 1 species
UUAUAGCCCCGGUAGGAGCGGCAUCCUUUGCCUUUUCUUUCAAAAGGCAAAGAUAUAGCGGAUGACGGGUCUUUGA